GGGCGGCCCAUGAGCACCUCUACUAAGUGCUCACCAAGAUUUCUGACAAAAUAUUAAAAUAACUAAAAUAAGAGUCUACCAAAUUUUUAAAGAAAUACUAAAAUUUCUAAACUUUUUUUAUUGAAAUAAUAUGAAAAACAAUUAAUUACCUAAAUAAUAUAGAAUGAAAAUUAUUUACUAAAGUAAUAUAUUUACAUAGAGUUAUACCUGAUAAGUUUAUGACUAAGUUCUCCAAGUCAUCGUCUAGAUAUGAGAGUCUCAAUCUCGCGAGAGCAUGCUCCCUUUGCUUUGCCGAUACACCCUCUCUUGGCUAUGGUUAUUAGGUAGAGGUCUUAUACUUCUCUCUCUAUAUCUCAAGCCCAGAAAGUAUUUGAAGAACUAAGGCAAAGAUUUGAAGAACAAAAGUAAAGAUUUGAAGAACAAAGGCUAAGUUUUUAUAACUUUGAAUGAAAUUACAAAGCAAUAAAUAAGUUUCUCUC
rnacentral:lncRNA from 1 species